CUCUGUGAUCUCGAUCGGCCCUGCUCUCCACCGCCCGCCUCGACUUCGCUGGAGAUAGAGGCGUCGCCGCCCAGCAACCACGGCUGUCUUGCUCACCGACGAGCAUGGCGCUCCAUCAAUCUGGCCGGACCCAACGCGCGCGUGGCCUGUCUAGGGUCUCCGGCCACUAGGACGGGACAGCGCCAUCGGCUCCCUCGGCUCCGGCGACUGCGACUGGCAGCGGGCGUCUCUCCCAGUCAUCUUGCAGUUUCUGGGACGAGCGGGAGCACGAAGUGCUUUGGCUGUUCGGCAACUCCGAGUGACCACGGUACAGGGCAGGUGGCAUGGCAGCAGCCUACUUUCUUGUGCUCCUGGUCGAGUCUUGUGGAGAAG